GAAAGGAGUUUGCAAGAUGGCGGCCGGAGGCUGCCCCCAGCCCGCACUGUUUUUGGAGGCAGGACAGAGGUCUCAACGCAAGUUGCCUCGUAAAGUUCACUUGCUAGUGGGGAGAGAAUAGCAGGUAAACAUAAAAAGCUGUCGCCUGGAGUGCCGCGGGGGCAGCUUCGGGAGGGUGGUCAGCAUAGACCCCACCGAGGAGAGGUUAGGCGGAGACGCGGGCCUGACGGAGCGUGGGCGUGACCGGGCCACGGGUGAGAAAGGGAAGGCGAGGGUCUUCCAGAACCCUGGAGAGCAACCCAUAGUUAUUUCGGUUUACUCGCCUUGAGAAGUCACUAUAAAUCGCAAGUGUUAAUGACCCUACUCUGCCAUGUUUAAACAUCGUUCUGCUAUUCUGUAUGAAUGGUGCAGGUGCGGCAGAGAAACAUGCAGAAGUUUCAUCGAUGUGGCCAUGAGGGAAACUGGGGAGUGGGAGCAGGAGGAAGCCCUAACCCACAGUCUGAGAACCCUGAUGCCUUCUCCUUGGGGUGGGAGUGGGGCUUUACAACAGAGAAAAAAUAAGUAAGGACUGAGGGGGGACAGAGGCUUCAAGAGGAUCAGGGGUAAGGCCAAUCUGGUGAAAGGUGUGAGGCAUCACUUGAGACAGAUGUCUGAGGUUUCUGAUGACUCCUGCCAAGGAAAAGGAGUAGGAAGUAUUGUUUCCUGAGACAAUAAAAUGGGAGUGUUUCCCCCCUCCCCUUGAGGUCUCAGGACAGAAGUCUGGUCAUCAAAAAAAGCUGAUGUAUUAGUUAGUUAUUGUAGUUUCUGAGGGUCCAGAAUCUAGCAACAACAUAGCUGGUGGUUCUAGCUCAGUGUCUCUCAUGAAGGUGCUUCAGCUUUUAAGGAAGGAAUGUCAAAAAUUGUAGACAUUCUAAAACCUAGUUGUGUAUUCUAGUCCUGGGAGAUUGGAGGUUUGGGAAUGAGUGGAGUCCAUAUAUCCAAAGGGUUUUUUUCCUGCCUUUUUUGACGGAAUCACUCUAUGACUUGGUCCAGAAACACCUUCCAGAAAUUUUCCUAAACAGAGUCCUUCCUCUUCUCCAGCCCCUAUCAGCCCACCAGAUAUUUCCAUUUAGCUCCUAAAUAAUUUUCACUAUCUCUGGCCUGAAGAGCUGCAAAUGAUUCUUCCUUGUCUGUGCAUCCAGUUUCAUUCUCUACUCUUUUCUGAACUACCCUAAUUCUAGAAUGAUUUAAAUAAAAACUAACCAUAACCCUUGCUGCCUAAAAAUCGCCCAUUUCUUCCAGAAUAAGUCCAGGGUCCUCACCGUCCAGCUAACAAAUGCCUUACUAAUUUUGCAUAGGCAACUAUUCGCAGACCUUGCUUUGUUCUGCCUACAUUAGUCAUACAGCCCUGUAGUCUCAACUCACCUCUUCCUGUACUGUUCUCUACAUUCCCCAAAUCAUGCCAGUAACCAGUCUUUCUGAUGGUCUCUUGUCACCAUGGUUACUUCCCAGCCCUUGAUACACAUUAGUCUCCACUAAAACAGUCUUUCCUGGGCUCCCUUCCUUGAUCUAUUCAGGAAAUAUUUUGAAGUUUUCAUACAUACAAAUAUACAUAGUUGAUUUUUUUUCAUUAGAAAAGAUCGAAUCCAGAGCCUCGCACAUACUAGGCCAGUGUUCUACAAAUGAGCUAUAUCUGCAGCCCUUUUUAUUUUGAGACAGGACCUAAAUUGCCUAGGCUGGCCUUGAAUUUGCAAACUUCCUACUUAAGCUAAAUAAUGCAGCAUAAGGGCUGGGGAUUUAGCUCAGUGGCACAAGCGCCUGCCUGGCAAGUGUGAGGUUGUGAGUUUGAUCCCUGGUACCACAAAAAAAAAAAAAAAAAAAAAAUGCUCCAUAAACGUAACUCACAGUUGAUUCUUGACUUUUUAGCAGUCAUUGAAAACACUGAAUUAAUGAAUAAUAAACUUUUUAAAAUCUAUUUUAUUUCAAAAAAAUAAUAAAAUUUCAAAACAACAAUCAGGGGACAACAAUGGUACAUACAUUGUGCAUUGCCAUCCCCAAAUCAGUCACCUGAGGGGUAGGGGAUAGAGCUCAGCGACAUAGCACCUGCUCGGCAAGUGCGAGGUCCUGAGUUUAAUUCCUGGUACAAAAAAAAAAAAAAAGGUCACCUAGAGUGUGAAAGGGUUUUGGCCCAGACAGGACACUAGCCAGGAAAGCCUCAACGGGAAGCAGGAAGCCCCUAUCUCCCCCGCCCCUAGGAAGUUACCUGUGACGCCAUCUUCCCGCCCCUGGAAAUUUACAUAUGGCGCCAAACCUAGGACCAAUGGGCUACCUGUACAUACCUAAUGCCCGCCUUAGGUUCCACCCCAACUGAGGCUAUUUACAUGCGCCCCCCCCCCACAGGAGAGAUCUCCGGCUGCCAGCGGUGGGGGUGCCGGUCAUCUCUCUCCGUGUUCUCAGAAUAAAGGCCGCUUUUUAUUUUAUACUUCUCAUCUUUUGGAAAUACUUUUCAUCUUUUGGAAAUAAUCCUAGCAGAGUGUAAGACAUCUGCACUCAGUUUUCUGAACAAUAAACAGAUUUCGGCACAAAUCUUUCUCUUUAAUGAACUCAGAAAAAUCAGUAGUAUAACUGUCAACUCUAUAUACAUAUAUUGUAUGAAUAAUAAACUAUUAAUACUUGGGGAAAUACAGUUAAGUUCCUGGGAACUUCUGGUCAUAAUUUUGUGUAUGUUUCUAUUAAAGGACAUCUUAUUUUAUACAUACUGACUCAUUAGCAUUGAACUCAUGGCCAUUAGUACUAUAAUUCCUAUCUGUAUGAAGCUGAUGUCACACAGUUUCUCUAUAAGGUAGGGCACUCUGUAGCUUCAAGAUGAGGGCUGGUCAACAGAGAGAUCAAGCCUAAAUUGGAAUAAGGAACAUCACAGUCUUCUUGCACUUAGCAAAAUUAAGUAGUGCCUACACUUGAGGUUUAAUAGAAUUGCCAAGUAAAACUAGAGAAAUGCAAACUGUCACUAACUAUAAUAUGAAAAGGUCCUUGUUUACACUGUGGGAGUAGAAAACUUGUUCAAACUGACAAUAUUCAAAUCAGAAAGGGCUGGGGGUUUAGCUCAGCAGUAUAAGUGCCUGCUUGGCAAACACAAGGUCGUGAGUUCAAUCCUCGGUACAAAAAAAAAAAACCCAGACAGACUUUUCAUCUUCUGGGCUGUUCAUUAAUAACCAUGAAAGACAUGAACUUUCCUGAAUUUUAAUAUGGCAGUUACAGAUGAAUCCUACUGAGUAGGCAAAUUUGCAAAUAUAAAAUUCACAAAUAUGUAAGAUGUAUUUUGAAUUUAUUCUAAUAUUUUCCAUUACUAAUGUACUAGUCAUGUCCCCUUUAUUUAAGACAAGAAUUUUAAGAUUUGUGUUAGAGUUUCAUUAAUUCAGGGCUGGGGAUAUACCUCAGCAGCACAAGUGCCUGCCUGGCAAGAGCAAGGGUGUGAGUUCAAUCUCCAGUAACAAACAAACAAAAAGAAUUGCACUAGACCAGGGGUUUAGCUCAGCAGCAUAAGUGCCUGCCUAGCAAUGCAACGUUCUGAGUUCAAUCCCCAGUAUAAAAAUAAAUUACAUUAACUCUACAGAGUAUCUGUGAAAGAAUUAGAUGUUCUUCUCUGCAAAGGUGUUUCACACAUUUUCACUAAUGAUUCUGGAGUUUAUUUUUAAUUGCUACAUGGAUUCAAAUUGGGACACAAAUAUCUAUAUAAGUAUGAUUUAAUAAGAAAAACAUUUAAUCUUUGUCCCUGACCCAGAGCUUAGAAGGUCCUGGGAAUUUUCUGAUAAGGGUGAUAGGAGUAAUUUUGUUCUAGAGGUGAUUCUGGGCAGGGCACUCUAUCACUUCAAGAUGGAGGAUGGUCAAGCCUAACUUGGAAGCAUAGAGCUUUCAAACUCAUCGAGAAGCUCAGGAGAGGGGAGAAGGGCUAGAGAUUGCUAAUCACUAGUAGUCACAAUUAGGCCUACAUAAUGAAACUUCCACAAAAAGACCCUAAACAAUUUCUUUUGGGGAGCUCCUGAGCUAGCAAACACAUGCAUGAGUGGAUCCAGUUCCAUGGGAACAAAGGGAUCUGUUCCUGGUAACUUUUUGGCUCUUACACUAUGUACCUCUUCAUCUAGAUGUUCUUUUGUAUUCAUUGUAGUAAACUGCACCAGUAAGUAUAUGUUAUCUUGAGCUCUGUGAAUCAUUUUAGCAAUUUUGGAACCUAGAAUGAAGUGAGUUAUGAGAAUUCUGGACUUUUAACCAAGUCAGAAGUGUGGGCAAUCUGGGUACCCAACACUUGGGUAAAUUAUUUUUUAAAAGGGAUUUAUUUUGGCUCAUGGUUUUGGUCCAAGGUCAAAGGCCUCAUUCUAGUGGUAACCUUGCUGUAGAUUCUUGUAGCAGAUUCCAAGGCAGCACAUGAUGAGACUCUUCUUGUCUUAUUUUCCCUCUUAUGAAACCUCAGGAGUCAAUAAUGGGAUCCCAUUCUGACCCCUACCAAAGACCUCCACCUCUAAACGAUGAUAAGUGAAUUUAGUUUCCACACUGUUAAUAAAGGCUUAGACUCAAACAUGAGUUUUAGAGGAUCAAGCCAUAUUCAAACCAUAGCACCCCAAUAGAUACUUUUUUCUUUUCCCCCACCUCCUCAAGUGGUAGGGAUUGAACCUAGGGCCUUCAAACUGAGCUACAGCCCUCGCCCAUUUGUUUUGCUUUGUUUUUGUUGUUUUGCUUUUUUUUAAAAUAUAUACCAGGAAUCAAGCUCACCACUUCAUGCCUGUCAGGCAGGUACUUAUGCUGCUGAGCCAAAUCUCCAGCCCCUUUGUUUUGUUUUUUGAGACAAUCUCAAUAUGUAGUCCUGGCUGACUCUAAACUCUCUGUGUAGCUCAGGUAGGCUUCAAAGUUUCAGUGAUCUUUCUGCUUCAGCCUCCCAAGUGCUGGGAUUAUAGGCAUGCAUCCCUAUACCCAGCUUUGGGUAAUUCUUAAAUCAGACACUGAGUCAGUCACAAGUCUAUACCUAAGGCCUGCAGUAAAACCUAUCACAGAUGAAGCAAGGAAAAGAAAGUAAGAGGGAAGCUGAGUCUCUUCUCAUAGCAUAUUCUGCCACGGUCUCAGCUCUACAACACAUUGCCUCCCAUCAAAUCCUACAGUCUGUCUCUCCAGUUACAGCAAUAACCUCUAGGGCCGGGGAUUUAGCUCAGUGGCGUAAGCAUCUGUCUGGCAAGCGCUAGGUCAUGAAUUUGAUCCUCGGUACCAAAAAAACCAAAAAACAAAAAAAAACAAACAAAAAAAAAAACACCACAAUAAUUUCUGGACUUGUCUGGUUUUAUUGUUUUGUUUUAUUUUUAUCAUCUGGCCUCUUAAUCCUAUGUUUUAUCCUCCAGUUGGAUGAGUGAAACUUCUGACAAAAAUGUAAUCAUGCUGAUCUACAGUUGAUAGUCCUUCAGUAGACUUCUACUACCUAUAGAAAACAAAAAAGAAAUCUAACUUCUUAAAAUAAUUCACAAAAUUCCUCCCUGAAGAAUACCUCUCUGCUCCUCAAACUCAUAUAUCUUUUAGCUAGCUGUGCUCAGAAAUCUCUGUGGUCUCAGCAACUCUCUCAGUGGUAUGUCAAUCUCAGACUGCUAGGGCUCAGUUCCCAGCUCCAGUUCUGACUGGUUUGUUGCCUCUGGGAAAGUGAUGUAGCCUCUUGUGCCUAAAACAUUAAAAUGGGAAUAGUAAUAGUACCUAUCAUAAAGGCUUCUUGUUAAGACUGAAUCAUAGCAUUCAGAAAGAGAUUAGCAGGGGUAGCUAUUAUUAUCACCAUCUUCAGUAGUAAAACAUUAUGGCUUGUGAACCUCUAUUAACUACCUUACCCAUGAAGAUGUACUUCCUACUCUAUCCCCGGCAGUUCCCUCUUACCUGCCUGCACAACUUUAUUUCAUAUUUGUUUCAAACAUGUUUCCUUUUGUCUACUAGACAGAAGGUCCUACUUAUUUUUGUUUUUCCACUGCACAGUAAAGUAUCUAUCACAUAGCAGAUACUCAAAAAAGUUUGUUGCCAGGCAUGGUGGCACACAUGCUUGUAAUCCCAGCACUUGGGAGACUGAGGCAGGAGGACUGUUGUGAGUUCAAGCCAGCCUGGUCUACAAAGUGAGCUCAAGGCCAGUCUGAACUGCAUAGUGAGACCAAAAAAAAAAAAAGUUUGUUGAAUGAGUAUAUGAAUGACUAACAUUAAAUAAUGAAAAAUAAGAAAGCUUUGUCAGAGGGAGGCCAAUUUGGAGGCCCCUGAAAUUAGGAUGUAGGGGCUGGGGAUUUAGCUCAGCGGCAUAAGCUCCUGCCUUGCAAGCAGGCAGUUGUGAGUUCGAUCCCUGGUACCGAUAAAAAACGAAAAAGACAAAAAAAAAAAAAAAAAAAAGAAAGAAAGAAAGAAAGAAAUUAGGAUGUAGCUAAGGUGGUACUGUAGCAAAAUGGAUUUAUUCAGUUAGAAAUUUUAGUAAGUACACAAAUAUAACUAAGAGACAAUUUCUGCCAUAAUAAUAAUGCUAACAGUGAUAACAAAUAUAUUCAUUCAGUUCACAUUAGAGCCAGAAACUUAACAGGAGCUGUACACACAGCAACUCACUUAUGCUUCAGAGUUUCCCAGGAUGCUGACAGUUUACUGUCAUGGAGUUCAGAGCAUCCGUGAAUACUAACAGCUUACUAUCAAGGACACCCGAUAGGAUUUGAAGUGCAGCUGUCGGAGGUGAAAUAUAAACAUUUCAGGGACUGUUCUAGAAUAGUCUAGUCUGGGGCUUUUAAUGAAGGCUAAGUUAAAUAUAAAAUAAAACAUUAAGAGUGGGAAUUGAUCCGGUAAAAGGAUCUGUGAUAACAGGCUGAAGCUGAGAGAUCUGCACUGGAGAUAGGAAGUGAGCCUUAGCAACAGGAAGGACUUGAGCUCCUCCAAUGAUGAGAACAGCUGAGUUCAUGUAAGGAAAACCAGCACGACAAGCUUCUCCAGGAGAAUCAACAGCAUACUAUCUUCCCCUCUAGUUCUCCUUUUUAUGCUAUUCGACAACAAUCCUCAAGUGGACCUUUCACACCCAGAACUGUGCUAAUUCAGUUCAGCUGGAUGUUACAAAUUGACCACUAAUUAAUCCACCACACCAGCUCCACAGCGUUUCUAGUGAAGGACAGCAUUUCUAGUGAAGGACAGAAAUGGGGACAAAUGUGGAGGAGGUAAGAAAGCAGAGAUUGCAGUUGUUUAAAACUCAGUAAGCUUAAAAGGUUGGCAGCCUAGGUGGGGACAGGAGGUGGGGACAGGUGAGGUCCCCAGGUUAGAGAACACACAUGUGCAGGACAUCAGCCAACAACAGCAGGCAGCAUGAAGCAGAGCAGAGCAUAACAGUGCAAGAAGUACCUGCAUAAGUAUUGUACAAUUCUUAAAUAGGUUGUUAUCUCCUAUGUACAGUCUUACAUAGUGCUGUAACCAGUGCAUAUGUGUGUAUCUGUGCUGUCAUGGUUAUAUACCUGUAUCCCACUGUAUGCCUGUGCUAGACAAGUCAGUCAGGUCACAUCCUCAGGUGUCCUUCGAAGCCUCUGAGCUGUGAAGUAGUUUGAGUGAUUCCACACAAAGGUAGUGGAAUAGUUAGGAACAUAAAGAGCUUUAUUCAGAUGUAAGUGCCUCACAGAUAUCUCUAGAUGUGAGGAAAAUGCUAGAGAUUGUAAAAGUAAGAGCAGGUAAAGAGGUAAAACUAUGACUGGGAGGGUGCAGAGGAGCUUCCAGAAAAAGGAAGCAUUCUUCAUCUUUCUGUGUUUCACCUUCCUUGCAUAUGACAGAAACAAGGACAAGAGGUUACAUCAUUCCUGGUUGAAAAACAGACAUUCAGCAGAGAACAAAAGAGUUAUUGAAGGCCAGAAAGAGGGAUUCUGAAGGGCAGGGGCUCCUGUCUGGGAGCAAUUUUUUUUUUCUGCUUUAUGAUGACAGUACCUGACCAUAUGGUUAAGAUGGCUUUUGAAUUGGUUUGAGGAAAGUGUUCAGAAAGAUUUGGAGAUGCAGUCUGGAAAACCCCUAGAUAGUUUUACAUAGAUGUUGAUGGACAAUUCUGUGGGAGCUCCAAAGAUUAGAAUGCAGAUAGGAAAGUCAAAGCUUAAUGAGGUUUCAAAUGAGAAACAAGACUCUACUGGAACUGGACUAGGUGCCUUUCAUGUUACAUUCUGGCAAAGAGCUUAUCUACAUUUUGCCCAAGAUCUGAUAUUUCAAGGAAGGCUGAAUUUAAAGGAGGAAAAUAAUUUAUUUGGUAUAGGAAAUUUCAAGGCUUCUCAAAAUUCAGCUGUGGGAUGAGUACAACUGACUCCUUUUAUCCAGAAUCAGAAGCAAAAAAAGUAGAACCAAUAGAUGAGAAAAAAGUUGCAAUUUCAGCAGAAAGAAAUGUUUGUAAACCUGGGGCCAUAGACAACAUUGGCACCAUUAAAAAGAAGCUCAGUACUUCGUACUGGAACAACAGGAAAGAUGCUGUAGGGCAUCUCAAGAAGUGACCAGACACCACCCAUUGUAAGUCCAAGGAUGUAAAGCAAUAACAAACUAAUUUGAAAGAUUAUGUUUUGAGAAGAGAGCACAACCUAGGAAGCCAUGCUUACUUAGAGAUACCUAAACAAGGGUAUCACCAAGUUCACCCAUCCAGGCAUUGAGAGACUAGUUUUGUUGGUUACUUUUCUCUCAUUGCUGAGAAAAAAUACCUGAUGCCCAAAAUUAAGGAAGGAAAAGUUUAGCUCACAGUUUAUGGAGCUUCCAGUCCAUAAUCUUCUUUGUCCAAGGCAGGGUGGCACAUGGCAGCAAACAACAGUUUUUGGCAGCAGAAAACAGCAACAGCAACAAGAACAAAAAAGGAGGAGCAUGAGAGAAGACACUUUCUGUUUCUUAUAUUGAAUGGAGGCUACCCACCUAAGGUUGGUCCAGUCCUCACACCCACAAUCUCAGCAUUGGACCAUGAAUCAAUCACAGAUUCUAGAAGCCUGUUCCCAUGACUGCGUAAGGCUUUGGGAGGACAUCUAGACACUAACCAUAACACUACUGAAGCCAUGAUCCAAGUAGACACAGAUAGUGACUGCUCAAAUUGGCAACAGACAUUUAGAUCUUUCAUGUAGUACAUGUUUAGCAGCCAUACAGUAUGCAAGAAUUGCAGAGUAAUGGAGGCUUUCACCCUUACUUCAAAGAAAGGCCCCGGAGGCCAGGUUUUGUGUCGCUGAGAAGAUGAUGCAUGAAGCUGUGAGAAUAAAGCUGAAAGUACAGUGGAGGCCCCAGGAAGUUGGAGAUGCCAAGAACAUGGAAUGAAGAAAGCCAGAGACUUUUGGUGCUGGGAAUUGAGCCCAGGACUUUACACAUGUACCAUAUCACUGAAUUGACACCCCAGCCUCCCAAGCUGGUCCCCAGAUCAUGCUCUGGACUUCAUGGCCACUUUCAUGUGCUGAAUUUCAGUUUUUAGCUAUCUGUCACAGUCUGCUUGUGUUGAAUUUAUCAUAUUUAUAACCCUAUUUCAGCUCACUUUGAUGUUAACCUUUUUCCCUCACCCCCAAAACAAAGUGAUACACAGUGGAAAUUGGGAAUCUUACAAGUGAAUUGCAAGAUUCACAAGAAGACAAAGGGUAGUGGCUCUGGUGACUAUAUCUGAGAAAACUGCUUCCACAACACUUGUCAUCGUCCCAGGCAUGUAGUACAAGGACCAAAGGACAGUCCAAGAUGCCAGCACAUCUGAUUAAAUAUUUAAAUUGCACUUUGAAGAAUCCGAGCAAAUGGCCAUGCUCUGAAACUGAUGAAGAAAAUACUACGUUGGAAUCUUUGCCACAGAAUUUGGUAUCCCACCUUUAGUUAAGGAAGAAUUAAGUCAUUUAAGAGGGUAAUCUCUGGAGUGAUUUUUCUCACUGGCACAACUCUCAUAACAUCAAUCAGGAAAGAACUUAUAGACGAGAAUAAUCCCAUGAGGUGAAAUAUCACAUGCUGAAUGGAGGAUAACUGCACUGGAGGCCUCCCCAUACCUGCUUCAUCUGGGAGCUUAUUCCCUAAUGUGAGCUUUAUGGACUUUCACUUACCUAAUAUGAGUUUUACUCUCUGAUGAGUUACUCGAUGAUUUAUUACAAGUAUAAGAUCAUUCUCCAGUGUGAAUUCUCUGGUGUCAAAUGAAGUGAGGAAGAAUUUUACACAUCCAGUUUAGAGUCUCUUGGGUUGGAUAAGGGAUAAUAGUGCAGUGAAAGAUUUCUUACAUUCAUUGCGUAAGGUUUCUCUCCAUUGUGAAUCUUCUGAUGUCGAAUGAACUGUGAGUACUGACUAAAGGCUUUGCCACACUCAACACAUCCCUAAGGCUUCCCACCAGUAAGAAUAUCACAUGCUGAAUGAGAGAGGAACAAACACUAAAAGCCUUAUCAAUCACAGCACUCAUAAAGACUCUCUCCAGUGUGAAUUCUCUUGUGGCAGGUAAGAUGUACACUGUGGGAGAAGGCCUUCCCCCAGGCACCACACUCAUAAGGCUUCUUGUAUACACACUCAAGCAUAUUCUCUCAUGCUUAAUUAAGGUGGACAUCUGUCCAAAGGUUUUCUUUUUAACCUCAUUGCACUCAUAAGGCUUCUCUACAGUGUGAUCAUUCUGGUGCUGAAUGAGGUGUGAGCCAUGGCUAAAACCUUUCCCACUUUUGAGGCAUUCAUAGAGCUUCUCUCCUUUAUGAACUCUUUCAUGUUGAACAAGGGAAAAAAGCAGUGUAAAGCUUUAUCACAUGUAUUACACUCACAGAGUUCCUCUCUAGUGAGAAUUCACUGAUGUUGAAUAAAAUGGCCCUUUUGACUGAAGGUUUUCCCACACUCACUGUACCCAUGAGGCUUCUCUCCACUGUGAAAUCUCUGACGGGACAGUGAAGUUUUGGGUCCAGCUAAAGGAUUUUCCACAUUCAUUAUGCUCAUAGGGUUUUUCUCCUGUAUAAAUCCUCUGAUGCUGAAUCAGAGAUAAAUGGGCACUGAAGGCUUUUCUAUACUCACUGCAAUCAUAAGGCUUCUCUCUACAGUGAAUCAUAUGAUGCUGAAUAGGGUAGAACUCUCUGCUGAAGCUUUUCCCACAUCCCUUACAAGGGUAAGAUUUCUCUCCAAUGUGAAUUCUCUGAUAAUCAUAUUAGAGCUAUGACUCUAGGCUUUCCCACGGUGGUUAUAUUUGUGAGGUUUCUCUCCACUGUGAAUUUUUAAAUGUUGAGUGUAAGAUGAAUACAUGUACUAAAUGCGUUCCCACAUUCAUUACACUCAUAGGAUUUCCCCCAGUAUGAAUCUUACAAUACCGAAUAAAGCAUGAAUGAGCACUCAUUGCAUGUGUGGAGUUUCUCAUCCUCUGAUAUUGAGGACAGAGCACCACCAAAUGUUUUCCCACAUUUACUGCAUGCAUGGAGCUUCUUUCCAGUAUGGACCUCUUAUACUGAGUAAGAGGUCUGUUCUGCCUGAAAGUUUUCCCAUACAUAGUAUACACAAGGAGUUUCUCUGGGCUCUUAACCCUCUGAUUCUCAGUAACAGCUGAGCUCUCUGUAGGCACUUGCAUGGAGACAUCCAAAUGACACAUACAGGGUCUUGGAAGUUGAUGAAGGUUUUACAUUGUUAAAGAGUUCUCACCCCAUGACACUCUGCUGGAGACGAAGGUCUCUAUAGAUACCCUUCAAUGUGCAACAGAGUUUGAGUCUAAAAGGUCCCUUUCCCCAGAGGUACUGAGUGGGUAGCCACUUUUUCUUUUGAGGACUUCCACACAGGCUACAGAAACUGUUCAAAAAUCAUUUUUUUGACAGAAGGAUUUCCUAAGUCCAUCCAUGGUAGAUUUCCUCCAGCAAGUAUUUAACUUUCCCUUGGUUUCACUCGUCUCUUCAGUUCCUUGAGAACUAUUCGUUACAUGAUCUUUACCUUUUGCACCGAGAUUUCAUUUCUUCAGAAAUUUCCUGCUUUGGAACCAUUUUCCUUUUUAAAAUCCUAGCAUCAUAAACUAAAAGACUGGAGAAAAAUUAGAUACCCAUGUUUUCUUAUGAGAAAGAAUCAGGACACAGGUGGGAAGAUUUACAUGAAACAAAGUUGUCUUUAGGAGGAUACUGGGUACUCAGAAUGCAAAGAAAUAGAAACAUAAGAGGAAAAGUAUGCUGCAAAAGCAACAAAAAUCAGUGGGGAAGGAGGAAAGAAAAAGGAAAGAAGCCCAAAAGUCAAAGCUUACACCUACUAAGCGGUCAACCAAGAGCAGAUACAGCAGAACAGCAAGCUAAGGCCUGAGAGCAAAGUACUUUUAGUUUCUGCCAUUGGUUGCAUAGCCAACCAGCUGUUAAGAAAAUAUUUCCUAUGGCUUAUGCACAAUCCAAACAUUCACUGAAAAAUAAAUGAGUAAGUGACUCAAUGAUUGAGUCACAUAACAGGGAAUAGAGGAUAGGGAAAAGUAUUUUAUCUGGACAACUUAGUUUUACAGAAACAAAUUUGAAAAAAAGAAGAACAGAAAAAGAAGCAACUUAUUCACACAGCAGGAGAAUAUAAGGGAAAAACAUCACCCUGCAGCAUUCCCACAUGUUGGGAGCCGCGUCUGUGAUAGCUCGCCUUGCGCGGCGGACGUGCGGCCUGUGGUAAAGAGCAAAGCCUGAGGUAGAUUACCCCUCCCAUCGAAUAUGUUAGUUUCCUGCUUACCGCGUAAACAACCCGCUCAACAAUAUAGUCUGCCUGGCAACUGAUGAUGUUAGCCAAUCAGCUUGCCUUGCUUACUUUAACAUGAUUGGACACUGUACCCGUAUAUAUACCGGUGCCACCCCUGGGCGGAAGAAGAAGCCAGGUAGAAGCCCGGAAGUAGAAGCCCAGAAGGAGCCGCGGAGAGCGGACCGGUAGAGGCUUCGGAGCGAAGCCCGGAAGGAGCCGCGGGGAGCGGACCAGAGGAGGCUUCGGCUGGGAGCGAUCCCAGGGCAGGCUGUACGGAGAAGGAAAAUAAAAAGAAAAGGUUGUCCACUACCAGACUUUGUCGUGUGUCCUUCCUGCCGGCCGGGAGCGGACAUCGACAUUUGGAGGCCCGCCCGGGGACUGAUCACCCCCGAGACGUGGAAGUGGACAACGCUCCAGUACAGAGCUGCGAGACAGGAACCGGGACGAGAACCACUGUGGGUACCGGAGAGACUGACACGGGCAACAAAGCCCUCGACUGAAGAUCAGACCUGCCCUACUGGAGAUCCAUCACAGACCAACCAAUAAGAUGAAUAGAAAUAGCGGUAGCCCGAAAUGGACAAGAAGAUCCUCAGGCAUAUGCAUGGCUUGCUCAAUUGGCCCACGACCGAGUCUAGAUAUGGCGGGCAUCCCUCAUUCUCCUCCAUAAGGUGACAAUACACAGCAGGGUAGGUGAGUCAAUGACGGGUAAGAGCGUGCCUCCCCAGCACGACUCGACCUAAGCCAGGCCCUACCCCAUCCUGCACGUAAGCCGCUGGACUGUUAGAUGCUGCCCAGGUCUAAAUUUCUCUCCGAGGGGAUUUCUUUACGGAGAGGAAAUGAGUGCAAGCUUGUGUGCAUCCAGGUUCCGUCCAGUUUGUGCCUGGCCCUAGAAAAAGGACGAGGGCCUCAGGGCCUUGGCAGACCAUGGGACGGCCGACCAGGGUCUAAGCCAAGGACCUACGGUGGACCUACACAUAGGGCAUAAGCCUCUGCACCCAGUCCAGGAAGGGCUACGAUGCGCACAUUCAUAAAAAAUAAAAUAGGGGGAGAUGUUGGGAGCCGCGUCUGUGAUAGCUCGCCUUGCGCGGCGGACGUGCGGCCUGUGGUAAAGAGCAAAGCCUGAGGUAGAUUACCCCUCCCAUCGAAUAUGUUAGUUUCCUGCUUACCGCGUAAACAACCCGCUCAACAAUAUAGUCUGCCUGGCAACUGAUGAUGUUAGCCAAUCAGCUUGCCUUGCUUACUUUAACAUGAUUGGACACUGUACCCGUAUAUAUACCGGUGCCACCCCUGGGCGGAAGAAGAAGCCAGGUAGAAGCCCAGAAGUAGAAGCCCAGAAGGAGCCGCGGAGAGCGGACCGGUAGAGGCUUCGGAGCGAAGCCCGGAAGGAGCCGCGGGGAGCGGACCAGAGGAGGCUUCGGCUGGGAGCGAUCCCAGGGCAGGCUGUACGGAGAAGGAAAAUAAAAAGAAAAGGUUGUCCACUACCA